GGAGUCUAGCAUGUACGCGAGUCAUUGGGACCGCACUAAACCUAAAGGCGAAAUGAAAGUGAAGGGGCGCUUCGCGCGCACCGAGGGAGGAUGGGUCGCGUCUCGGCGCGGCCCCGCACUCCCGGGGCGUCUCGUUCUCAUCGCGAGAAGAGGCGCACCCAGAGCGUACACGCUGGGACCCGAAAGAUGGUGAACUAUGCCUGGUCAGGACGAAGUCAGGGGAAACCCUGAUGGAGGUCCGUAGCGAUUCUGACGUGCAAAUCGAUCGUCGGAACUGGGUAUAGGGGCGAAAGACUAAUCGAACCAUCUAGUAGCUGGUUCCCUCCGAAGUUUCCCUCAGGAUAGCUGGCGCUCGCUUUUGCGAGUCUCAUCCGGUAAAGCGAAUGAUUAGAGGCAUUGGGGUCGAAACGGCCUCAACCUAUUCUCAAACUUUAAAUGGGUGAGAUCUCCGGCUUGCUUGAACGCGUGAAGCCGCGAGAUCGGAUCAGAGUGCCAAGUGGGCCACUUUUGGUAAGCAGAACUGGCGCUGUGGGAUGAACCAAACGCAGAGUUAAAGCGCCUAAAUCGACGCUUAUGGGAUACCAUGAAAGGCGUUGGUAACUUAAGACAGCAGGACGGUGGCCAUGGAA
rnacentral:rRNA from 1 species